rnacentral:tRNA from 1 species
GGCGGAGUAGCUCGCGGGAGGGGCCGGGGGGCUGGGGGCGCCCCGGCCGGGGCGGGGCAACCGUUCGAGCACGCCUCACCCCCG